UUGGCUCAGGAUGAACGCUGGCGGCGUGCCUAACACAUGCAAGUCGAGCGGGGAUUGCUUUGGAAGGUCUUCGGACUGGAAGAAGUGAUUCCAGCGGCGGACGGGUGAGUAACGCGUGAGCAACCUGCCUUCAACAGGGGGAUAACGCAUCGAAAGAUGUGCUAAUACCGCGUGAGACCACGGGAUCACAUGGUCCAGGGGUCAAAGGAGCAAUCCGGUUGAAGAUGGGCUCGCGUCCGAUUAGCUAGUUGGUGAGAUAACAGCCCACCAAGGCGACGAUCGGUAGCCGACCUGAGAGGGUGAUCGGCCACAUUGGAACUGAGAGACGGUCCAGACUCCUACGGGAGGCAGCAGUGGGGAAUA
rnacentral:rRNA from 1 species